rnacentral:rRNA from 1 species
UACGUAGGGGGCUAGCGUUGUCCGGAAUCACUGGGCGUAAAGGGCGCGUAGGCGGUGCGAGAAGCGUGUGGUGAAAGGCCGGGGCUCAACUCCGGCUCGGCCGUGCGGACUCUCGCGCUUGAUGAGUGCUGUAGAGGCGGGCGGAAUUCCGGGUGUAGCGGUGGAAUGCGUAGAGAUCCGGAAGAACACCGGUGGCGAAGGCGGCCCGCUGGGCAGUGACUGACGCUGAGGCGCGACAGCGUGGGGAGCAAACAGG